rnacentral:rRNA from 1 species
UGGGGGAUAUUGCACAAUGGGGGAAACCCUGAUGCAGCGACGCCGCGUGGACGAAGAAGUAUCUCGGUAUGUAAAGUCCUAUCAGUAGGGAAGAAGAAAUGACGGUACCUGACUAAGAAGCCCCGGCUAACUACGUGCCAGCAGCCGCGGUAAUACGUAGGGGCAAGCGUUAUCCGGAUUUACUGGGUGUAAAGGGAGCGUAGACGGAGCAGCAAGUCUGAUGUGAAAAGGCAGGGGCUCAACCCCUGACUGCAUUGGAAACUGUUGAUCUUGAGUACCGGAGGGGUAAGCGGAAUUCCUAGUGUAGCGGUGAAAUGCGUAGAUAUUAGGAGGAACACCAGUGGCGAAGGCGGCUUACUGGACGGUAACUGACGUUGAGGCUCGAAAAGCGUGGGGAGCAAACAGGAUUAGAUACCC